GAGAGUUGCUAGCAGCGCUAUGCCACUACUUGUAUUCUCUCCAACUACUUUGGACACUGACAAAACCCUCACAUUUCGAAACCAAAUCAGAACCAGAAACUUAGGGUUUUUGCAGCGUUUGCAAAACGACAAUGACGGAACCUGGAGUGGUAGUUCAAGUGAAGGAGAAGAUUGAGUUAACGGACGCCAAGAAUAAGAUAUUUGAUAGCCUUCUCAACACUCUUCACCACUUCAAUCUUAAAACUGAGCUUUGUGUAGCCGUUGGCUGGGUCCGCGAUACAAGCUUCUGGGGAUAGAAUGUUAUGACAUUGAUAUUGCGCUAGACAACAUGUUGGGAAGUGAAUUUGCUAAUAAGGUGGCUGAGUAUGUAUCGUCCACGGGUAAAAAGCCACCUUCAGGCUGAGGGGUUAUUCCAAGAUACUGUUGUCAACUACAUUUUCAGGGAGUCUCUCUAGCGAAAAGGCAGUGAUGCUGAAACUGUAUGCCUAAAUAUACUUUCUUGUUGUUUCUUAACUUAGGUUUUUCUUUCCUUUCUAGGUAAUGAACAUUCACAAAUCAUUGGAGAAAUUCUUAUCCUUGAUUCCAUUUCUCAUAUCCACUGAGGAGAUCAAACUUGUUGAAGUUGAUUGGGGUAGAGAAUUGGUUGAUGACUUUGUUCCUUCGAAACUCAGAGUUUUGACUGGUAUGAAGUUUCUGCUGUUUUAUCUAAUGUUAGUGAU